rnacentral:rRNA from 1 species
CCCUUAGAUGUUCUGGGCCGCACGCGUGCUACACUGAUGCAUUCAACGAGUCUAAAACCUGGUCUGAUAGGGCUGGGUAAUCUUUUGAAAGUGCAUCGUGAUUGGGAUAGAUGAUUGCAAUUCUUCAUCUUCAACGAGGAAUGCCUAGUAAACGCAAGUCAUCAGCUUGCAUUGAUUACGUCCCUGCCCUUUGUACACACCGCCCGUCGCUCCUACCGAUUGAAUGAUCCGAUGAAUACCAUGGAUUGAGAGUACGAAUAGGUUCACUUAUUUCUGCUGCUCGAGAAAUGGAGUAAAUCUUAUCAUUUAGAGGAAGGAGAAGUCGUAACA